CCUACGGGAGGCAGCAGUGAGGAAUAUUGGUCAAUGGACGAGGGUCUGAACCAGCCAAGUAGCGUGAAAGAUGACUGCCCUAUGGGUUGUAAACUUCUUUUAUAUGGGAAUAAAAUGUUCCACGUGUGGGAUUUUGUAUGUACCAUAUGAAUAAGGAUCGGCUAACUCCGUGCCAGCAGCCGCGGUAAUACGGAGGAUCCGAGCGUUAUCCGGAUUUAUUGGGUUUAAAGGGAGCGUAGGUGGAUUGUUAAGUCAGUUGUGAAAGUUUGCGGCUCAACCGUAAAAUUGCAGUUGAAACUGGCAGUCUUGAGGACAGUAGAGGUGGGCGGAAUGUGUGGUGUAGCGGUGAAAUGCUUAGAUAUCACGAAGAACUCCGAUUGCGAAGGCAGUUCACUGGACUGCAACUGACACUGAGGCUCGAAAGUGUGGGUAUCAAACAGGAUUAGAUACCCCAGUAGUC
rnacentral:rRNA from 1 species